UAAUUUGUCUGGGAUAGAUCAUCAUCUAGUCAUGGAAAACCCACAUUUGACUACUUAUAAUCAUAUGUUAUCUCAAGCCAGCGACAUCAUUCUUCCCGGAUUAGAGUGAACUCAUCCUCAAGUUUUGUUA
rfam:Populus trichocarpa isolate Nisqually-1 chromosome 1, whole genome shotgun sequence.